UGGGGAAUAUUGCACAAUGGGCGCAAGCCUGAUGCAGCCAUGCCGCGUGUAUGAAGAAGGCCUUCGGGUUGUAAAGUACUUUCAGCGGGGAGGAAGGUGUUGAGGCUAAUAACCUCAGCAAUUGACGUUACCCGCAGAAGAAGCACCGGCUAACUCCGUGCCAGCAGCCGCGGUAAUACGGAGGGUGCAAGCGUUAAUCGGAAUUACUGGGCGUAAAGCGCACGCAGGCGGUCUGUCAAGUCGGAUGUGAAAUCCCCGGGCUCAACCUGGGAACUGCAUUCGAAACUGGCAGGCUAGAGUCUUGUAGAGGGGGGUAGAAUUCCAGGUGUAGCGGUGAAAUGCGUAGAGAUCUGGAGGAAUACCGGUGGCGAAGGCGGCCCCCUGGACAAAGACUGAC
rnacentral:rRNA from 1 species